AGCUGAUCACUGGGCAUAAAGGGUGCGCAGGCGGUUUUGUAAGACAGAGGUGAAAUCCCCGGGCUCAACCUGGGAACUGCCUUUGUGACUGCAAGGCUGGAGUGCGGCAGAGGGGGAUGGAAUUCCGCGUGUAGCAGUGAAAUGCGUAGAUAUGCGGAGGAACACCGAUGGCGAAGGCAAUCCCCUGGGCCUGCACUGACGCUCAUGCACGAAAGCGUGGGGAGUAAACA
rnacentral:rRNA from 1 species